CACAGUGAUGAUAACCGUGAGUAGGAAGUGCCGUCAGAUGCGAUAACUGACGAUAUUUGAUCCACUUUUCUGAGU
ensembl:snoRNA small nucleolar RNA SNORD49